GCCCCGGUAGCCCAAUUGGCAGAGGCAACGGCCUCAAAAUCCGUCGAGUGUCGGUUCGAGUCCGACUCGGGGCACCA
rnacentral:tRNA from 1 species